GAUGAACGCUAGCUACAGGCUUAACACAUGCAAGUCGAGGGGCAGCAUGAAGGAAGCUUGCUUUCUUUGAUGGCGACCGGCGCACGGGUGAGUAACGCGUAUCCAACCUUCCCCAUAGUAGAGAAUAGCCCGGCGAAAGUCGGAUUAAUGCUCUAUGUUGUAUUUCGAUGACAUCUGAGGAAUACCAAAGGUUCACCGCUAUGGGAUGGGGAUGCGUCUGAUUAGGUUGUUGGCGGGGUAACGGCCCACCAAGCCCGCGAUCAGUAGGGGUUCUGAGAGGAAGGUCCCCCACAUUGGAACUGAGACACGGUCCAAACUCC
rnacentral:rRNA from 1 species